rnacentral:rRNA from 1 species
AUUGAACGCUAGCGGCAUGCCUUACACAUGCAAGUCGAACGGCAGCACGGGUGCUUGCACCUGGUGGCGAGUGGCGAACGGGUGAGUAAUACAUCGGAACAUGUCCUGUAGUGGGGGAUAGCCCGGCGAAAGCCGGAUUAAUACCGCAUACGAUCCACGGAUGAAAGCGGGCGACCUUCGGGCCUCGCGCUAUAGGGUUGGCCGAUGGCUGAUUAGCUAGUUGGUGGGGUAAAGGCCUACCAAGGCGACGAUCAGUAGCUGGUCUGAGAGGACGACCAGCCACACUGGGACUGAGACACGGCCCAGACUCCUACGGGAGGCAGCAGUGGGGAAUUUUGGACAAUGGGCGAAAGCCUGAUCCAGCAAUGCCGCGUGUGUGAAGAAGGCCUUCGGGUUGUAAAGCACUUUUGUCCGGAAAGAAAUCCUUGGCUCUAAUACAGUCGGGGGAUGACGGUACCGGAAGAAUAAGCACCGGCUAACUACGUG